rnacentral:rRNA from 1 species
UACAGAGGGUGCAAGCGUUAAUCGGAAUUACUGGGCGUAAAGCGUGCGUAGACGGUUAUGUAAGUCAGGUGUGAAAGCCCCCGGGCUCAACCUGGGAACUGCAUCCGAAACUGCCUUGCUCGAGUAUGGGAGAGGGAAGUGGAAUUUCCGGUGUAGCGGUGAAAUGCGUAGAUAUCGGAAGGAACAUCAGUGGCGAAGGCGACUUCCUGGACCAAUACUGACGCUCAGGUGCGAAAGCGUGGGGAGCAAACAGG